rnacentral:rRNA from 1 species
UACAGAGGUCCCGAGCGUUGUUCGGAUUCAUUGGGCGUAAAGGGUGCGUAGGCGGUCUUCUAAGUUUGAUGUGAAAUUCCGGGGCUCAACCCUGGCAUGGCAUUGAAUACUGGAGGACUAGAGUACCGGAGAGGAAACUGGAAUUUACGGUGUAGCGGUGAAAUGCGCAGAUAUCGGGAGGAACACCGGUGGCGAAGGCGGUUCUCUGGGCCUUACCUGACGCUGAGGAGCGAAAGCGUGGGGAGCGAACAGG